AUUGAACGCUGGCGGCAGGCCUAACACAUGCAAGUCGAACGGUAACAGGAAGAAGCUUGCUUCUUUGCUGACGAGUGGCGGACGGGUGAGUAAUGUCUGGGAAACUGCCUGAUGGAGGGGGAUAACUACUGGAAACGGUAGCUAAUACCGCAUAACGUCGCAAGACCAAAGAGGGGGACCUUCUGGCCUCUUGCCAUCGGAUGUGCCCAGAUGGGAUUAGCUAGUAGGUGGGGUAACGGCUCACCUAGGCGACGAUCCCUAGCUGGUCUGAGAGGAUGACCAGCCACACUGGAACUGAGACACGGUCCAGACUCCUACGGGAGGCAGCAGUGGGGAAUAUUGCACAAUGGGCGCAAGCCUGAUGCAGCCAUGCCGCGUGGACGGAAGAAGGUCUUCGGAUUGUAAAC
rnacentral:rRNA from 1 species